GCAUGAAGUUGGAAUCGCUAGUAAUCGCGGAUCAGCAUGCCGCGGUGAAUACGUUCCCGGGCCUUGUACACACCGCCCGUCACACCAUGAGAGUCGGGAACACCCGAAGUCCGUAGCCUGACCGCAAGGGGGGGCGCGGCCGAAGGUGGGUUCGAUAAUUGGGGUNAAGUCGUAACAAGGUAUC
rnacentral:rRNA from 1 species